UGGGGAAUAUUGGACAAUGGGGGGAACCCUGAUCCAGCCAUGCCGCGUGUGUGAAGAAGGCCUUAUGGUUGUAAAGCACUUUAAGCGAGGAGGAGGGUACUGGUAUUAAUACUACCAGCUACUGGACGUUACUCGCAGAAUAAGCACCGGCUAACUCUGUGCCAGCAGCCGCGGUAAUACAGAGGGUGCGAGCGUUAAUCGGAUUUACUGGGCGUAAAGCGUGCGUAGGCGGCUAAUUGAGUCGGAUGUGAAAUCCCCGAGCUUAACUGGGGAAUUGCAUUCGAUACUGGUUAGCUAGAGUGUGGGAGAGGAUGGUAGAAUUCCAGGUGUAGCGGUGAAAUGCGUAGAGAUCUGGAGGAAUACCGAUGGCGAAGGCAGCCAUCUGGCCUAACACUGACGCUGAGGUACGAAAGCAUGGGGAGCAAACAGG
rnacentral:rRNA from 1 species